GUGGCGGUAUCAUAAUUAGCUAAUGACCCUGACUGUGAAUCAGGUCUAUCUUGGUGCAAAUCCAAGUCGUCACC
rnacentral:tRNA from 1 species